rnacentral:rRNA from 1 species
CCACGACUACAUUAGAUACCCCGGUAGUCCUAGCCGUAAACGAUACUCGCUAGGUGUCGGCCACGGUGCGACCGUUGUCGGUGCCGUAGGGAAGCCGUGAAGCGAGCCACCUGGGAAGUACGGCCGCAAGGCUGAAACUUAAAGGAAUUGGCGGGGAGCACAACAACGGGUGGAGCUUGCGGUUUAAUUGGAUUCAACGCCGGAAAUCUUACCGGGACCGACAGCAACAUGAAGGCCAAGCUGAAGACUUUGCCGGAUUAGCUG